CAUAGCUUUAUGUGUAUAUAAAGUACUCUCUGCCCAGUGAAUUUAACGGCCGCAGUACCUUGACUGUGCUAAGGUAGCGUAAUAAUUUGGCUUUUAAUUAAGGUCAGGAAUGAAAGGGAGUCAGGGAAUCUGUCUUUAUUGAAGUAUAUUAAUUUAUUUAUUAGGUGAAAAUCCCUAAAAUUUAUAUUAGACGAGAAGACCCUUAGAAUUUAUAACUUUUUUGUUGGGGCGACAAAGGUAUAACUACCUUAUUUUGUUUAGAUUUGACGAGAAUAAUAAAAUUACCUGAGGGAUAACAGCAUAAUAUUAAGAUUAUGACCUCGAUGUUGGAUUAGGGAAUAUUAGUUAACAAUUAAUAUAGUUCUGUUCGAACCCUACGUGAUCU
rnacentral:rRNA from 1 species